GAUGAAGAACGCAGCGAAAUGCGAUAAGUAAUGUGAAUUGCAGAAUUCAGUGAAUCAUCGAAUCUUUGAACGCACAUUGCGCCCGCCAGUAUUCUGGCGGGCAUGCCUGUUCGAGCGUCAUUUCAACCAUCAAGCCCCAGGCUUGUGUUGGGGACCUGCGGCUGCCGCAGGCCCUGAAAACCAGUGGCGGGCUCGCUGUCACACCGGGCGUAGUAGAUUUUAUCUCGCUCAGGGCGUGCUGCGGGUUCCGGCCGUUAAAAGCCUUUUUUACCCAAGGUUGACCUCGGAUCAGGUAGGAAUACCCGCUGAACUUAAGCAUAUCAAUAAGCGGAGGA
rnacentral:misc_RNA from 1 species